rnacentral:lncRNA from 1 species
GUUCCCACUGGUGAUGCCUGUCUGACACGUUUUGGUAUUUAGUAGGAAAUGAAGUGUUUCGAAGCUUCGAGAGAAGCUUCAAAAUUGUCACAAUUGCUGAAAACAGAAUGAAUCGUGAACAUUAUCUCAAUAUUUUGUAUAAUAGACAAGACCACAGUGUUUUGGUUCCCUGACCUGUUUUUGUGUUUAUGUUAGGAUCUGAAUCAUGUUCUGGGUAAGGGGACGAGGAGCGAACACUGCACUAAGAUUUGGUUUGCCAAAUCAGAUUCUUUGGUCAAGAGUCAGCAUGAGCCACCGUGCCCAGCCUGAUUGACAAUGGCCUCUUGAAGGCUGGGUUUUCCCAGCCGGACAGUGCCCGCCCCACAUGCUCCACUCCCACGCUUUCAUCUGCAGGCCUGCCUUCCUCUCAGCCACCUCACUGCUGAGCUCUGUGGUAGAGAAUUUCCUUUACCCAUCAGGGUAUGGUCUGGCUGGUAAUACUGACUCCAACCCAGCUCCUUCAUUUUAUAGAAGGAGGCAUUUCUGAAUCAUGUUUGUUCACCAUGGCGAGACUCACUGCAGAAUUUUUAACCACCUUAUUUUAAGUCAUUCAUUCUAGGAACAGUCAAGCCCCUACCACAAAGGGGCCAGAUCCGUUCAAGUGAGGAAGCACUUGCAGUUUCUGAAUUUUGCUGUAUAUUUGUCCUAUGUCACCCAACAGGCCCUUUGCUAUAGCUGGGACAUUACCAGACCCCAAUACCUUAGGGUCUCACAGCCUGAAGGACACAGAGCAUUGAAUUAUUAAAAGACCUGAAAAUAUUAUAAUGUUUUUCAAUUGUCACCUGUUUUCAAGACUUAAAUGCUAUAGACUUUUCUGCAGGAAUGACGUGUAUAUUCCUCACUGGCAUUUACCAAAAAUAAAUGAUGGUUUCCAGGGAAUCAAAA